AGACCGUGGUACGAACGAAGAGCAGCACCGGCCUGUGCAAAUAGUUCCAUCCACAAGCAAUCUGACAAUAGACCGGAGUUUAUUGUUCUUCUGUGAAGAAAACAACGAAAACAUGUCGGGUCCCUCGAUCGCUAAAAUGUUAAUAUUCCUCCAAAAUAAUGAACAGAGGUUAAUCACUUUCAUAGUGCCAAAAGAACACUACACAAUUCUGGAACUGCUUAAACAGAUUAACAUUCCUAUUUCGGCGGAUACUCACAUACAAUGUAUGCGAAGCGCAUCUCGUUCAUGUGAAAUUGACUAUUUUGUCUCAGUGGACUCACCAACUAGAAUUGAAGAAAUGUUAGAAUAUCGCCCGUUAGUGAAAUGUCUACACUUGAAAAAUCCAGACAGAGACAGACAAAGGUCCAGAUAAUAUAGAACAACGUCCAGAAACCCCAGGGCUGCGGUCGCCACCCGGAUACGACUCCAGUCGCUGUGAACGGCGUAAACGAGUAUUCACUGAGGGACCUAAAGGUGUA